AAGCCUGCUGAUUACCAGGUUAAUGUAGAAUCUUGUCCCAUAGGGCACUUUUCCUCCUACAUCUGUUUCCUCCUGUGUAUGGACUUUGCAGUGGUCAUCUGUAAGAAGACUACAGAUUUCCUGGCUGAGUGAGGAAGGCAGCAUUGGCCACACCAAUUUUGACAGGAGAGCAUUUGGAAAUCCAGGUUGAUAUAGGCACAUGGUAUGGGAUGGCAAGCAAGUGCAUGGUGGAUAAUAUACCAAAGGAAUCAAAAAAUCUAAGAUUCCAAGUUGCAUUUUGA
rnacentral:lncRNA from 1 species